UCGAGGAGAUUUGUCCCUCGCCGCCGCCACUCUCUCCAAAAUCCCACCUCGGGAUCCUCCCAGAUCCCCUUCUCCUCGGUUUCCUCCUCUACCCAAUCCCGAAGGCACUGCGGUCUCCUCUGCUUCCCUCGUCCUUGUUUGAUCCCAGGGGCAGCCACCGCAUCGCUGUUCCCCUGCCUCGGCCUCGCGAUCCCGCGCCUCCCUCCUACAGCCCAUGCAAGUCACCAGGAGGUGGGUUCCCGUGCUGCACAGGAGCUCCUCGUCGCCCGGAUCCGUUCCCCAGGCCGCCGGACCUUCCUGCAAGCGUCCUCGCCGGUGACCAGCAGGUCCCAACGCCACCCUUUUUUUCUUUUCCUGUCUCCUCUGUUACCUGCUCUCGAUCCCCCUCUGUCUCAUGUCCCUGUCUCUCUUCCCGCCAUGGACAGGUACCAACAAACCGUCAGCCACCAGGAGCUCAAGACGCCGCUACUCCUCGCCGGACCGCUGCCUCCGGCUACCUCCACCUCGCCGAAGUAGGAGCUCCCAUGGCCGCCGCCGCCCUGGCUGCCCCAUAGGAGUUCUCUGCCGCCGGAUCGGGUCGCCUCCACCCGGUUCCUCUCGCGCCGACCGCCCGCGCCGGAGUCCUGCGCCAAGCCGCCGCCGUUGCCUCUGUUUCCCGCCGCUGCACCAUGCUGCAACGAACGCCUGCUCGAUCCAACCGCCCCGCGUUGACCGAUCCACUGGCCUGCGCUAGCCCAGCGAGACCUCCUGCAGCCCAGCACCACCAACCGGGCCUUGGCCCAUGGCUUCGGUUUCGUUCCGGAGUUGUGAGGAUUCGUUCGACUACGUCCGUUUGUCUUCUUCGUGGACUCGUUCUUCUUCCUUGCAGGAUCUCAGGCAAGAUGACCAU